rnacentral:rRNA from 73 species
CACGACUCUCGGCAACGGAUAUCUUGGCUCUUGCAUCGAUGAAGAACGUAGCGAAAUGCGAUACUUGGUGUGAAUUGCAGAAUCCCGUGAACCAUCGAGUCUUUGAACGCAAGUUGCGCCCGAGACCUUUAGGUUGAGGGCACACCUGCUUGGGCGUCAUGC